UACGGGGGGGGCAAGCGUUGUUCGGAAUUACUGGGCGUAAAGGGCUCGUAGGCGGCCCACUAAGUCCGACGUGAAAUCCCCAGGCUUAACUUGGGAACUGCGUCGGAUACUGGUGGGCUUGAAUCCGGGAGAGGGAUGCGGAAUUCCAGGUGUAGCGGUGAAAUGCGUAGAUAUCUGGAGGAACACCCGUGGCGAAGGCGGUUCUCUGGGACGGUACUGACGCUGAGACGCGAAAGCGUGGGGAGCGAACAGG
rnacentral:rRNA from 1 species